rnacentral:rRNA from 1 species
CCUACGGGCGGCAGCAGUGAGGAAUAUUGGUCAAUGGUUGGGAGACUGAACCAGCCAAGCCGCGUGAGGGAUGAAGGUACAGAGUAUCGUAAACCUCUUUUGUCAGGGAACAAAGGCGGGGACGUGUCCCCGGAUGAGUGUAUCUGAAGAAAAAGCAUCGGCUAACUCCGUGCCAGCAGCCGCGGUAAUACGGAGGAUGCGAGCGUUAUCCGGAUUGAUUGGGGUUAAAGGGUGCGCAGGCGGGCCGUUAAGUCAGCGGUCAAAGCCCGGGGCCCAAACCCGGCACCGCGGUUGAAACUGGCAGUCUCGAGUUGGGGAGAAGUAUGCGGAAUGCGCGGUGUAGCGGUGAAAUGCAGAGAUAUCGCGCAGAACUCCGAUUGCGAAGGCAGCAUGCCGGCUCCACACUGACGCUGAGGCACGAAAGCGUGGGUAUCGAACAGGAUUAGAUACCCCUGUAGUC